rnacentral:lncRNA from 1 species
UUUUAUUUUAUUUUACUAUAUUUGAUACUUUUAUUAUUCAUUGCUAUUUUUAUUUUGCUAUAUUUGAUACUUUCAUCAUUCCUUGCUAUUUUCUUAGACAUUGUUGUUGAUUAAUUUCAUUAUUAAUAAAAUGUUUAAUGAGUACGAGCUCGGGUUCAAACUGUGCGUAACAAAUUUAUUCUCAAUCUAGGUUUAACGAGGUUGAAC